ACGGGGUGCAGCAGGCGCGAAACCUCCACAAUUCACGCAAGUGAGAUGGGGUUACCUCGAGUGCUAUCUGAAGAAGGUGGCUUUUCCAUGGUGUAAUGAGCCGUGGGAAUAAGGGGGGGGCAAGACUGGUGUCAGCCGCCGCGGUAACACCAGCCCCCCGAGUGGUGGGGAUGAUUAUUUGGCCUAAAGCGUCCGUAGCCAGCUCGGUAAAUCUCCCGUUAAAUCCAGCGUCCUAAGCGUUGGGCUGCGAGGGAAACUGCCGAACUAGAGGGUGGGAGAGGUCAGCGGUAUUCCUGGGGUAGGGGCGAAAUCCAUUGAUCCCAGGAGGACCACCAGUGGCGAAGGCUGCUGACUAGAACACGCCUGACGGUGAGGGACGAAAGCUGGGGUAGCGAAUCGGAUUAGAUACCCGAGUAGUCCCAGCCGUAAACGAUGCAGGCUAGGUGUUGGGUCGGCCAUGCGCCGCCUCAGUGCCACAGGGAAGCCAUUAAGCCUGCCGCCUGGGGAGUACGGCCGCAAGGCUGAAACUUAAAGGAAUUGGCGGGGGAGCACCACCAGGCGUGAAGCCUGCGGUUUAAUUGGAGUCAACGCCGGGAACCUUACCGGGAGCGACAGCAGAGUGAAGGCCAGGCUGAAGGUCUUGCCAGACGAGCUGAGAGGAGGUGCAUGGCCGUCGCCAGUUCGUGCCGUGAGGUGUCCUCUUAAGUGAGGUAACGAACGAGACCCGCGCCCCAUGUUGCCAGCAAAUCCUAAAGGGAUGUUGGGCACUCUUGGGGGACCGCAGCCGACAAGGCUGA
rnacentral:rRNA from 1 species